rnacentral:misc_RNA from 1 species
AUCUUCUGUGUGUCGCUGGCUUCCAUCCUCUGCUCACCUCCCUCUUCCCUGUGCUCGCCCACCCUCCGCUCCCCUCAACCGGUCGAGUUCCUCUGCUGUGAGCUCAGACCGCGCCCAGCCCCAACUCCCAGUCGAGCCCCUUUCCCCUGAUCUCCAUAGCACGCGCGCCCUGGAGCUCUAUGUGCCGCGCGCCCUAGGGCUCCCAUGCGCCGCCGUCCUGGUCCAAGUUCCCUGCGCGCGUCCAGCCAUGGCGCCCCAUGCUUCUCUCUUCCUCUGCUCAUCCUCAAGCUGCGCCCUGUUGAGGUCCUUCCAUGGCCGGCGCUCGGCCCUGCUCCUGCUUCAGCUCGCCCCUGCGCGCGCGUUCCGUUCUUCCCUAUGUGCACAUUUUUCUAAGCCCAGCUGCCUCUUGCUUCUCCCUCCCUCUGCCCGUUGCCAUGGCCGCCGUGCCGAGCUUCAUCCUUCCGUGCUCGCGCCCUGCUCAUCCAUGGCGGCUUCCCCCUGCUGGCAGCCGCUCCCUGCUCCCUGGCGUCGCAGGCUCGCCGGUGUUGCUCGGCCGAUCGCGCUGCUCUCUGCGCGCCGAGCUCGUCCCUGCGCGCGCCCCUCAAACUUGUCCUCCACUCUGCCGUGGCCGCCAUGGAAUCCGCCCACGUGCCGUUCCGUGGAAGCCCCAGCUCGAUCCCCUUCGACUGUGCUCGCUCUGGCCAUGGACACCGCCCUGUUCAUUUUUGCAGCUCGAUGUCGGCCUGAUCGAGUUCCCGCCAGCGCUUCCUGUCUGCUCGCCCCGCGACUCGCAUCUUUCCCAACUAGACCUAGCCGAGGUUCCUCCCUGCGGCGCGAGCUCUCCUCUGGUACCCAGGUCGUGCACAUCCGUCGCUGCUCCCUGAUGUUUCCUGCUCGUCCAUGGCCGACCAGCUUGCCAUGGUGUCGCGCGUCCUUGCGCCCUACUUGUCCCUGACCCUCGCGCUGGCUCGCCUCGUCGCCGAUUUCCAAGAACCAGCGCCAUCAGCUUGCCGGUCUCCUCCUAAUUUAAUUUGGAACUACUGCGCCUCAGCCUUGAUCUGUCGCGGCCUGGCUCAUCGUCAACCCGUUUGGACUCCGUCUCGGCCAAGCCUUUCAGCUCGUGCCAUUGUGGCGUUGCCAUCGUUCGUCUCCAUGUGGUGGGUGCAGCAACAUCAUCGUUUACUCCAUGGGGCUCAUCGUCGAUUUUGUCUUUCGGAGAGUGAUCCUGGAGUUCAAUAAAAAUGUGAGAGAAGUCCGUGCAACAAGUGCAAGGAGCUCGACCGGAUGUCUAAACUGAGAGCCGUCGUCGCCCUCGCGGUUAUCAAAUCGAUUCGAUCGUGGUACGCUUAUUAAUCACGAGCUGAGUCGACCCCAAGAUGACGUAACAGGUGGACUACUCCGCAUAGUGAUGCUGGUGGACGAACCUGCCGGAUCAAGUGCUAGGACAAAAGAUGGUCAUCAAGCGGACAUCGUCUAACAACACUAACCUAGUGUUAUCCAGGCAAGCCCUGGUGCAUUUGCCACCUCCUUGCUAUUGUAAAAUCUUUAUCACCUUGUAUGAUGCAUUAGGUGAUAGGAGUUGUGUGCUAAACCGUUGAUGCAUUUUCUUCCUUGAAAAUUGAUUACCCUUCCUUGACACCCUUUUAUAAAAAGGAUUUUUAUGAUGCUUAGCCUUGCUUUAGAAAAACAAAAUGUUUUGUUUUAAAACAAAAGUGAUGCUUCAGUGGGUGGGAAUGUUUUCAAAAAGAAAAACUUGUGAUGGUGGAUCCAUCAUGGCUAUGAUGGGUUCAACAUCGGAAAAGAUGUACCUCUGCCAGGUACCAAACUUUGGCUUUUAAAUGAUAAAGCUGAGACCGGGCGAUUGACUUGCACGAGAAGGGAGUCUCAGUGUAGUGUCUCUGUCUGGGUCGAUUAAGGACCGUGUCGAUGUAGGCUUACUGAUCGAGGACCUUUUAACUGGUCACAUGCCUCAUCAUGGGUAAGCUUUGCCUCGGGCAGACUAAUACCAGAAUAAGGCAACACACAAUAGGAGUGGAGAGAUGGCGAGAGUUGCGUGUACCGUCCAUGGCAAGAGGCUGGACGGUGGUGUAUCUGUGCUCUCGGUUGGUGUGAACCUGAUUUGGUCUUAAGAACCUCGGUGGCGAGUUGACAUAUGCAAGGGUUAAGUGCUACAUAUGUCGUGUGAUUGGAGAUCCCCAGUUGGGUAUUAAUCGAUUCGGAUCGCCGUUACUUCUCGGACAUGAAAACUUGGUCACUGUCCUACACGUAGCAAUCCAGUGAACUGAAGGGUUGAUAAAAAGACGGCUAGUAUAGGCCAAGUGUUUGAACUAGGGUAGAAAGAACUCUAGAUGCGGGUAACUUUACUUAACCUGACAAGUAAAAAUGGAUUUUAAGGAUCCACUCAUAGU